GACGAACGCUGGCGGCGUGCUUAACACAUGCAAGUCGAACGGAAAGGCCCUGCUUUUGUGGGGUGCUCGAGUGGCGAACGGGUGAGUAACACGUGAGUAACCUGCCCUUGACUUUGGGAUAACUUCAGGAAACUGGGGCUAAUACCGGAUAGGAGCUCCUGCUGCAUGGUGGGGGUUGGAAAGUUUCGGCGGUUGGGGAUGGACUCGCGGCUUAUCAGCUUGUUGGUGGGGUAGUGGCUUACCAAGGCUUUGACGGGUAGCCGGCCUGAGAGGGUGACCGGCCACAUUGGGACUGAGAUACGGCCCAGACUCCUACGGGAGGCAGCAGUGGGGAAUAUUGCACAAUGGGCGGAAGCCUGAUGCAGCAACGCCGCGUGCGGGAUGACGGCCUUCGGGUUGUAAACCGCUUUCGCCUGUGACGAAGCGUGAGUGACGGUAAUGGGUAAAGAAGCACCGGCUAAUUACGU
rnacentral:rRNA from 1 species